GACAGAGGGUGCAAACGUUGUUCGGAAUUACUGGGCGUAAAGCGCGUGUAGGCGGCCAUGCAAGUCGGAUGUGAAAGCCCUCGGCUCAACCGGGGAAGUGCACUCGAAACUGCAAGGCUAGAGUCUCGGAGAGGAUCGUGGAAUUCUCGGUGUAGAGGUGAAAUUCGUAGAUAUCGAGAGGAACACCGGUGGCGAAGGCGGCGAUCUGGACGAUGACUGACGCUGAGACGCGAAAGCGUGGGGAGCAACCAGG
rnacentral:rRNA from 1 species